GUUAGCGGGGCGCUUCAAUACCAAGCGGGAUGGCGGCACACUUAAACGUCAAACGGGAGGGCAGCAUGCUUGCCUUUAGGUCAGUUCCUGGUCUGCCCCUGUGAGUAGAUUAUAGGGCGUGUCAAACGGUGGAGAGCAGGAGCUGUGGUGGUGCUUCUGGUGUGCCACCUCUGGAAACGCUGUACGGGCAGUGGAUAUCAGUUUGUGGCCAUUGCCUCUCAGCUGACUGCCACUGGAUGCCAAAAGGCUGCUGCUCUUCUUUACUGCCCCCUCCCCUCGACUGAUAAGAUUUCUCCCUUGAGCCUUCCUGAAUGAAAUUCAUUACAAAAAGAUCUUUGCUACCUUGAGGCCUCUCCUGUUCUCAUACCAAGAAGCCAUAGAAGAAUGGUUUCAUUGCCUCUGUCUCAUCUUGCUAGCACUCCUAGCUGAUUGCUGUAUCUCUCAUGCUGCCUUCUGCAUUGACCUGAGAAUAGCAUGGUAGAAAACUAAUUUGGCUGAGAAAGACUAAUUUCUUUCUGCUGGAGCAGUUCCACAAUCCUGGUUCUGCAUGUAGUAGCACAGGCAUCUGUACUGGCCCACAGCAGAGAAGGCAUAAGCUGAUAGUGGCAAGGGUAUUAUCAUAAGGAACAGAUACUUUGGUACUGCAACCUAGAGGUUGCUCACUGACCGUUGCUUCUGGGGUGUUAUCUCAGCAGCUCAGAAGAUGCACAGGUGAGAUGAACAAGAAAUGGCCGGGGAAGUGGAGAAGUUCCAGAAGGCUCUUCGUGAUCAGGAGUUGGAAGUCAAGAUUUCCUUGGCUAAAUGUAUGGCCAUUCUUGAGUGGUGCCAUCACGCCUAACACCAUGACUUUGUAUUUAAGAAGGUUGAUCUCAUCUUUGUGCCUUUGUGCUUGCAGAUGUUGAAUACAUUCUGCAGUGUUUUUCUUUGUUGCAUGUAGCCAAAGACAAAAAUUAAAGCUAAGAGUAGGCCAAACUUGGGCAAAAUGCUCAUUACAUUGGGUAGGAGGUCUGCCUAAAUAAAAGCAGGCCCGCACUUGAAAGUUUAGGAUCACUGGAGAUAUUUCCUGUUUUAUUUUGGCUGUAAGAGCAAAAAAUUAUUAAUAAAAGGAUUUUAUUAUUCAA